ensembl:lncRNA
AAGAAAAAAGAAAAGAAAAGGAUGUACUACAUGUCUAAUUAACACUUUUGAAUAUAUUGCUAUAAAACAGAGCCAGUUAUGUUAAAUUUGCCUUUAAGGUAGUAGCAGCUGAACUGAUAUACUGCACUACUGCAGUUUAUAAAAUUUAAAAAAAAAAUUGACACUGUCUUAGUCAGAUGCAACAAAAUUUUUGACUUUAAUCUUGAAAGGCUCAACCGAUACAUAAUCUUAAUUUAAUCUUGAGAUAUUGAAGUAAAAGAAAACGAAACUGAUACUGAAUGUGGUUGACAUUACAUCAAGAGUCCUAAAUUACCCUUGACAAAGUUUAUCACAUACCUUCUUUUAAACUCAUCGUUACAGUCAUAGGAAGCUAAACAGGAAGCCCAUUAGAUGGUAUUUUAAUCUUGUUCUCUGAGUUUAUAUUUAUUUAUAAAUGGCAUGGAACUACUGCUACUUGUUUCAGUCCAUAUUGAAGAGAAAAAGAAUUUGUAGUGAAACUCUUCACGCCUCAUCCAGCCCUUUCAUCUGAUUAAUUAUGGAUUGUUGUUGAGAUGAAUGCAGAAAUGAAUUACCAGACUUGCAGUUUAAAAAUAUUGUUGAGAGAGAGUGAAGCAUUUCUAUCUCAUUAAUGCUUUUGUGAUUUUAUGAGUAACAGGGAUUUGUUGAUUUUUGUCUGCCUGGGUUUGGUUGCACCAGCUGUAUUUAAUAAAAAAAUAAAAAUAAAAUUUCCCACUUUAUUUUCACAGUUGUUGCACUUACAUGUUGCUCUAGGCUUGAACUGUUCUCCUAUGUAAUUAUCUCCAGCAUGGCCAAUCAGUGGGGUCACUCUAGUGACUCUGGGCUCUGACUGAACAGUGGGCUCAAGUGGGUGAGAUCAAAUGUUAGUGGAAGAGCGCCACCAUCUGCUCAAACAAAAAACAAUGUAAACAGGCAUAAAACAUAAACUCCAGCUGUCAAGACGGUUGCAGGAUGUUAUAAAAUCUGUCACCUGAACUCACUUGUCAGUUGAUUAUUGAUCUGCCUCUGCUGAAAGUCUAUUACACGAAACACCUGCAUCAUCACUGCAAUGACACAAAACAAACCCACAGGUGGCGCUAGGGGAAAGAUAAACUAAAAGAAGAGCUGCAUUAGUGUUGGCAUGCUUAAACACACACACUUCUGGUUUACUUUCCUUGU